UACGAAGGGGGCUAGCGUUGUUCGGAAUUACUGGGCGUAAAGCGCACGUAGGCGGAUUGUUAAGUCAGGGGUGAAAUCCUGGAGCUCAACUCCAGAACUGCCUUUGAUACUGAGGAGCUUGAGUCCGGGAGAGGUGAGUGGAACUGCGAGUGUAGAGGUGAAAUUCGUAGAUAUUCGCAAGAACACCAGUGGCGAAGGCGGCUCACUGGCCCGGUACUGACGCUGAGGUGCGAAAGCGUGGGGAGCAAACAGG
rnacentral:rRNA from 1 species